rnacentral:rRNA from 1 species
UUAACACUGAGGCGUGACGACGAGGCACUACGGUGCUGAAGCAACAAAUGCCCUGCUUCCAGGAAAAGCCUCUAAGCAUCAGGUAACAUCAAAUCGUACCCCAAACCGACACAGGUGGUCAGGUAGAGAAUACCAAGGCGCUUGAGAGAACUCGGGUGAAGGAACUAGGCAAAAUGGUGCCGUAACUUCGGGAGAAGGCACGCUGACACGUAGGUGAAGUGAUUUACUCAUGGAGCUGAAGUCAGUCGAAGAUACCAGCUGGCUGCAACUGUUUAUUAAAAACACAGCACUGUGCAAACACGAAAGUGGACGUAUACGGUGUGACGCCUGCCCGGUGCCGGAAGGUUAAUUGAUGGGGUCAGCGCAAGCGAAGCUCCUGAUCGAAGCCCCGGUAAACGGCGGCCGUAACUAUAACGGUCCUAAGGUAGCGAAAUUCCUUGUCGGGUAAGUUCCGACCUGCACGAAUGGCGUAAUGAUGGCCAGGCUGUCUCCACCCGAGACUCAGUGAAAUUGAACUCGCUGUGAAGAUGCAGUGUACCCGCGGCAAGACGGAAAGACCCCGUGAACCUUUACUAUAGCUUGACACUGAACAUUGAGCCUUGAUGUGUAGGAUAGGUGGGAGGCUUUGAAGUGUGGACGCCAGUCUGCAUGGAGCCGACCUUGAAAUACCACCCUUUAAUGUUUGAUGUUCUAACGUGGACCCGUUACCCGGGUUGCGGACAGUGUCUGGUGGGUAGUUUGACUGGGGCGGUCUCCUCCUAAAGAGUAACGGAGGAGCACGAAGGUUGGCUAAUCCUGGUCGGACAUCAGGAGGUUAGUGCAAUGGCAUAAGCCAGCUUGACUGCGAGCGUGACGGCGCGAGCAGGUGCGAAAGCAGGUCAUAGUGAUCCGGUGGUUCUGAAUGGAAGGGCCAUCGCUCAACGGAUAAAAGGUACUCCGGGGAUAACAGGCUGAUACCGCCCAAGAGUUCAUAUCGACGGCGGUGUUUGGCACCUCGAUGUCGGCUCAUCACAUCCUGGGGCUGAAGUAGGUCCCAAGGGUAUGGCUGUUCGCCAUUUAAAGUGGUACGCGAGCUGGGUUUAGAACGUCGUGAGACAGUUCGGUCCCUAUCUGCCGUGGGCGCUGGAGAACUGAGGGGGGCUGCUCCUAGUACGAGAGGACCGGAGUGGACGCAUCACUGGUGUUCGGGUUGUCAUGCCAAUGGCACUGCCCGGUAGCUAAAUGCGGAAGAGAUAAGUGCUGAAAGCAUCUAAGCACGAAACUUGCCCCGAGAUGAGUUCUCCCUGAGACUUAAAGUCUCCUGAAGGAACGUUGAAGACGACGACGU